AUUUUGGUAAAACCCUAAACCUCGCCAUUUCUAGUUCCCCACCACGCCACCACCGCCGUCCCCACCUUCUCCGACGAAACCCUAGCGAUGGCGUUCCGCGGCGCAGCCUCCCGCUCCUUCCUCGCCGCCGUCCGCGGUCGCACCGCCUCCACUGCCCCGCGCGUACGCGCGGCCCCCAUUCCCGCGGCCCCUCCCCGUCGCAUCCCUGCCUCAGCGCCCUCCUCCCCUCUCGCCGCCGCAAGGCCAUUGGCGGCGUUGAUGGGGUCGCCGGUGUUGGUUGCCGCAAGGCUGACGGGGCACUGCGCGGCGAGCGCGCGGGCGUGCUGUGAGCUCUCCCAGGGUACUUAAAGGACGAGUUGCUGCCCUUCGCAAGGAUACAACAGUUCUUUUGGGUGCAUCUCUUUGGAAGCUCUUCUGAGUUCAGUUCGUUUUCCUGGAUUCUGCAAAGUUACAAGAAACUCCCCACUCCCAGUGCUAGCUUUUGUCUCCUAGACAAACGGACAUUCUACUUGAUAUUUAUAUAUGAUGAAUAACGUCCUUUUGAUCAGCACAUGUUUCAUUGGAUGGUUCUUGUUUGUGAUGCGUGUUGAAAUCUUUAAUUCAUAAUCGGUAUCAUGCUGUUUCUCCAUGAGUUAACACUCGUAGCGAAUUUGUAACUGGGAGUUCAAUGAAAUCAAAGAAAACCCACAUGUGAUCUGUGAGUAUUAUCGUUGAUGGCC
rnacentral:rRNA from 1 species